UUUGUACUCCCUCCGUCCCAGAAUUCUUGUCUUAAAUUUGUCUAAAUACGGAUGUAUCUAGUUAUAUUUUAGUGUUAGAUACAUCUGUAUCUAAACAAAUGUAAGACAAGAAUUUUGGGACGGAGGGAAUACUAC
rnacentral:pre_miRNA from 1 species